GACGAACGCUGGCGGCGUGCUUAACACAUGCAAGUCGAACGAUGAACCCGGAGCUUGCUCCGGUGGAUUAGUGGCGAACGGGUGAGUAACCUGCCCUUGACUCUGGGAUAACUGCGGGAAACUGUAGCUAAUACCGGAUACGACCCUCGGCGGCAUCGCCAGGGGGUGGAAAGAAUUUCGGUCAAGGAUGGACUCGCGGCCUAUCAGCUAGUUGGUGAGGUAACGGCUCACCAAGGCGACGACGGGUAGCCGGCCUGAGAGGGUGACCGGCCACACUGGGACUGAGACACGGCCCAGACUCCUACGGGAGGCAGCAGUGGGGAAUAUUGCACAAUGGGCGCAAGCCUGAUGCAGCAACGCCGCGUGAGGGAUGACGGCCUUCGGGUUGUAAACCUCUUUUAGUAGGGAAGAAGCGAAAGUGACGGUACCUGCAGAAAAAGCACCGGCUAACUACGUGCCAGCAGCCGCGGUAA
rnacentral:rRNA from 1 species